rnacentral:lncRNA from 1 species
CAUCUUGAGGACCUGCGCGCAUCUGGGCAGAGCAACGUCCUUCUGGAAUCCCAGAGCAUUCGCCAUACGAACAUUAGAGGCCACACCAUUGUUGCUGGUGAGGAAGACAGGGGCCCUCUCCCGACCAGGCACAGUUGUGGCGCACCUCAUGUCUGGGCUGCUGAUGAGGACGGACUCACAGAGCUCAUCCUCGUGCUCAUCAGUGACGAGGAUGUUGUAAGUGCCAGUGCGGUCAGUGUGCCCCUCGUAGGUGCAUGACUUCAAUCCAGUGGUUUUCGAUCUGCACUCAACUCUUACCUUUGCUCCUGUAGUAACAAAAAAUGCCAUAUUAACAGCAGUUGACAAAGAAAGAAAUGCAUGACUGAAAAAUGGAUGCUAUCAUUUUGUUCAUUCAGCUCUAAUUUUCUACCUUUUUCAGUUGGUUCCUCCCAACCAAUUAGAGUAGAAGAUAAUAGUUUUGAGCACCAGGCAGUAUAAUUGUAAGCCAUAAAACCUUUUCUGUUUUCACAUCAAAAGUGUAUAAAAGUAGUGCUGCUUCUUUUUUCAGUAUUCAAUAUAUGCCAGAUAGCCAGGUUAAAUUUAAACAGUUUUUACAGUAUUCCACACCAAGUAGCAGGGAGUAAACAAAACCUGACCAUUAAUUAUAAUGGGUAUUAUAGACCUUUGUAUUAUCCCAAACAACAAAAUUUGUUGACUAACUGAUCAUGCCUCAAAUCUCGCUCGUGCCACAUACAGACAACAAACGCAUGCCUAAUUCAGGGAACCUCACGGCUACCCAUGGAGGAAAGUUAGAUACAUUCCUAAUGUGGAGAAGAAUACAUGGCAUGCUUGCUAAAAUGUUGAGAACAUGAUAGCUCCAAAUCAUCAGCCUUUCAAGCUUCACAUAAUGAUAGAUCUCGAUUGAGUGUGCUGUCACGCUGCCCAAAUCAAUCCUUCCAUUAGAGAAAUUCUCAGACCUAACAUUGAGCUUUCAUGGAUCUAUCAUUAAUUUUGAGCUUUACUGAUCAGUCGAUGCAAGGAUAAAAAGAAAAUACAAUUGUUUGAUUGCAUGAUCCAUCCCGCUUCAUAUGAGGAAACAAACAAAAUUAAUUUCACAGCAAGGGGGAUGCACAGAUUCUGGAUGUGCGGUGGCUGGGAGAGAAGGCAAAAACCUGGUUGUCGAUACGAGGGAGAUUAAUUGACUUGAAAUAAGAGGUUUGUACGGAGUAUGUUACAGUUUUGCCCUUCAAACAGUUGUACUCGCUCCAACGUGUCGAGAGAGUAUAAUAGAUCUCAUCCAUCUGAUUGAGGAGAUUGGAUGGUUCAGAAUGAUUUGUGGGCAUCCUAAAAGAGCUCUAAAUUUUUAGUACCACAUUCUAGAUGCAACAGGCACACAAUUCAAGGUAUUGCUCUUUUCCUAAGCAAUAUUCCAAAAAUCACUAUGCCUAGCCAGGCCCAACUUUAUAAAAGCGAAAAUAUUUGGGUAUCCAAUUAAUAAUAUUGCCAUACUUAGGGACUGCCAUUUUCAGUAAGCAAUAUUCUGAGAAUCUCCAGGCCUGGCCUGGCCCAGCUUUCUAAAAGAGAAAAGAUUCCAGGACCCAACAACCACUUUCUUCCUGAAUUGUCCGAUGAUAGAAUAAGCUAAAAAAUUGUUCUAGCCACAUAACAGUAUAAAUUUAUCUAACUAAUAAUUUGUUAAUAUUCCAAUGUUACUGGAGAACAAAAUUUGCAGUGCCCCUAGUGUUCACUCAAGCCCUCCUGGAAAUCUGUAUCAUUGUUCCGUCAAGUAAUCUAUUGGCACUGACAUAUAUAGUUCUCAUAAACAAUUCAUAUUUCGUGCAAAAUAGGAAAAGGACAAGUUGUUUCUCUUGUCCUAAAUGUCAUCUUUAAUUGACUGGAGGUAGCACUAUCUCGCUACUGAAGGAAUACAACUUUGUACACUUUAAAAAUAAAAACAUGGACAGCUGUAGAAAAACAAUGACAUUCAACUAAUCUACAAAAGGAUAGCAAUUAUCUCCUGCCAGAAGCCCAGAACUGCAGUCAGUUAGAGCAACUCCAAGAGGCCGCUAAUCUUACCCCCAAUACUUUUUUUAGGGAAAAAAGGAGAAAAAACGAACUCCAACAGUCCACCCAAACCUUCCCCAAUUUUUUAGCAACGCUAAAAAACAGCCUACCACCGCGUAUAUUUUAGCGUUGGCAUUCCUCCCCCAAUCCUGAUUCCCGCACGCUCGCGCGUCCCUUCCGAUGGGCCCAAUACGAUGACGUAGCCUGUUUUAAAAUAUUGGGGGCUAUUUAUUAGCGAUCUGCUGUGGAUUGAUAUGUUUUUGGGGGAAUUUUUUUUUGAAAGAACCCCCAAUACAUAGUUUUGGGGAAGAAUUUUUUGGAGUACUCUUGGAGUUGCUCUUAUACAGGUUAAGAUACAUAGCCUACCACUACCUAUGGCAAACUAACAUAUUCACUCAAAUUCACCAAUUUUGUCCAGCAGGAUAGAUCUAGUCUUUGUUUGGAUGUAAGUCUUGGAUACUCAACAUCUCUGCUCUCUUGCAAAUUUGUCAUCAACACCAAUUUUACAGCCAAUGUAUUUUUAUUAAUGAAGAUUGAGUGUUUCUAUUUGUGUCCAGUAUUUGAACUAUUGAUUGAUGAGGCAAACAGCCGAAUCAUUUCUAUACAGCUCAGCAUGCAUGUUUGAUUAUCCUGUAUAUGGUGAAGACUACUAGUUUCAAAGUUCAUGUCUUAUUCUGAAGAUAGACUACAUUCAGGUAUUUGGAUCAACUACCACUGUUCUGAUACACUAACUGGUAGCAUCAUGGAAUAUGAGCAAAAUGGCUCAAGCCAGGCCCAGUGUCCAACCAUGUCUACCAAUUACGCCAUCCCAAAUUCCAACCAUGCAAUCCAGACCAAAAUCACAGCUCCUAUUGAUCUAUCCUGCUUGCCUAUUCACCACCGAAAAUAUAUCAAGUUUAGAGUUUACAGACCUAUAUUUUGCACAUUCAUACUCAUUACCAUGUAGUAGAAAUGCACGUCUGGUAGAUCCACUAGAAGAACUAGAAAUUUCACCAUCACAAACUGGGUGUUCGCUUAGAUAAGAAAACGAACCACAAGUGGAUCUAAGAAAACAAAUCUACGGCAGCAGCAGCAACAACAUGUGAGAGCAUCGUGCAGACGACAUGGUGCAGACUGGCAGAGCGCUAACUUCAGCACUAAGCAAUCCCAGAGAUGCAACCGGCUUUCCACUUUUAGGAGGCACAAGGUCUAACGCCAUUCACUUGCCCAGAACGCUUGAGCGCAUCCAAACACCAUUUCCCUGAACCAAUCCACUCGUAGAGGCAUCACACAUCUAGAUCGAGUAUCAGAUCACGGGAAAUAUAAAGAACAGAAACAACUUUUUUUUCUCUCAGUUCUCUACGUUCAGAGACCAGAUCAGUAACAAGGGAGGGCGAGCGGGAGGGAAGGAAGCGUCGCACCGGCAAUGUAGGUGGAGACGGGGGUCUCGAAGCCGGCGCGGCAGGUGUCGCACCAGACGCGGCCGCGCACGACAAAGCUGGCGGACCGGAGCGGGCGGAGGUCGCGGGACGCGGCGGCUCCCGAAGCCGCAAGCACGCACAGCGCCGCGGCGAGGAGGAGGGACGCGCGGAGGGAGGCCAUCGCGCUCGCCGCCAGCACGAGACGGGCAGUGGAGGGGAGGGAGGAGAGCAGAUGGCGAUGGGUGGCGGAGUGGGAGUGUGGAGGGGUGGAGUGAGGAGGGGGGAGUCGAGGACGAGGGGAAUAAUGGUCGCGUCUCGUCGUCGUCGGAGGUCGCGUGGUGGGGCGGCGUGGAAUUAUGUCGGCAUGUGGGGGUUGGAUUGGGCGC